UCUUCCCUUUCUCGGUCAGCAUCAGAGAGAGACAAGGAGUUCUUUGAUUUUCUUUCCUUCUCCAUCUUCUUCCGUCUUCGGCGUCAUCAAGUGAGAGUGUGCCAAAGCUUCAUCCGUCACUGCUUGUCAGAUCAUCAACGUCUUUCUCCUUCCUCUGUGCGAGUGAUGAUGUGAAUGUUCAAGUCUCUCUUCCCUUUCAUUUUCCUUACCGUUCGUCGCUGCUGAAGACCAUGGAAGCUCUGUCGAAGCUCUUCCUCUGUUAGCAUUUAAGACUCUUCUUCCUUCUCGCCGUCCGCUGCUGGUGACUGGAGAAAAACACUGAAACCCCUUCCUUUGACAGUGCUGUGGCGCGCGUUCUCAUUGGGCUUCUUCCUCCCCUGUUUUUUUUUACUGUGAACUCCUCUCCUCUCCUCCCUCUGUUUGAGCAGCUGUGACAGGUUGAGCUCCAGUGGGAAAUGGUACAAGCAGCAUAUGGAAAGAGGGAAAAAGAAGCACAAGUGACUAUAAUUUUAUUGAAUAUGAAGUAAAGCAACAGACUAUCUAGAAUUUGUAUGUCAUUGAACUAAAAAGUCAUAAUGGUGAGCAAGACAAAGGAAAAGAGUCAAGAUUGACAUAGUGUGCUAUUGCUAUGAAAUAUCUAAGUUUUGUAUAAUGAAUACUAUGCUUGUGUAUAUUAUGUAUAUAAGUUGGCAUAGGAUAUGCAUGCAUGUUUAAAGUUGUGAUUGUUGAGAAUUGUUAUGAAUUUUGAUAAAUCUUAGCCUAUUUAUGUGUAUAUGUGGUGAAAUGAGAAACGGAGGCUAAGAUUUAGUUGUGAACUUAUGGUGAAUAUGUUGUGAAUGAGAAGACAUGAGAAUUGUAGUAAAAUUGCAAAAAUAUGACAAACUAAUGUGUUUGGUGUA